ACGUAUUACAUAUUUGACGACUUUUACAAAAUCUAUGAUUAAAUCAUGGCAAUCCACUAAACCGACCUUAUGAAUUUGGGUUUAAAAAACAUUACGCUUUACCAUCUUCGGCCACAAUCAGCAACGAGUUUCGUCCAUAAGACCACUUAUAAUCUAAAGGCAGGACUCCGGUGCUAUCCGUACAUCGAUACAACAGCCUGAACGAGUUUAUUCCGGAGGAGCCAGCUGCUCACCCUUAAAAACACGGUUGUCCUCUUGAGCGGUGCAUCACGAACGCGUUAUCUGCCGGCUGCUCGAACAACGAUAGGGCAGUACGAGGGUGGAGAGUGCGAAGUUAAGUCGAGCCCUUGCUCGAAUGUCUCUGACGGCAGCGAGACGAGUAGUUAAUUAACACCUCCCGUUACCCUUACCCUUCUUCAUCCCUUGCAUCCAGUAGAGGCUAGCUUUUCCGCAGAACAGCCGCGGUGGCAGCCGCCUUUUUCACGGUGGAGGAACGGUCUCCUUCGCAGAAUUCGCCCGCGUGGCUGGCUUUUUCAAAGCUGCCGUAACCCCGGCGAGAAGUUGGAAAAGGAUCUCCUUCCUUCGUAAUUUUUUCCGUCCUCCUCCCGUCGACCACGAAGACCGGUUGGUAAUUAAGACAUUCUGUGGUAGAAAGGAAGUCACCGGCAAGUCCCUGGAUCUCAUGUAUUUUUAAUUUAGAUAGCGACCGAGAAGAAUCUAGAGGGGGAGGAUCCACCGUUUUGGAACUGGCGCAAAAGACUCCGACGAUGGGGUUUGAUCGUUCAAGUGGUUGGUUCUUACAUUGUCAGCGUUCUCUUCUUCUCCAAGCUGUCGAUGGAGCAAUUUUCUGCGAUUGUGGCAAAGUGGUGGAAUUGGGAGCAGAUCGCGUGAUGUCGCGGGUGUGGUGUUCUCGCGAGGACUAGAAAGUCAUCAAAGAGGGAAAUAAACGACGUUACGGCGAACACAGAGCAUGCGUUCGGUAAUACCUCAGUUGGAUACAGCGAAAUUUUCGUCGUUGUUGGCCACUACGCCGAAGGAUCCAGCAUCGCGAAUGCCUCGAGCUUCCACUCACAGGGAGCUGUGUCAUCUCGACAGAGCGUGUAAUGCAAAGGUAAUGAUAGCGAUUUGGAAACAGACGUUCAGAUGUAUACAUCCAGUUUGUUUCGUGAAUUUUGUGGUCAGUGUUACUAGUGUUUCAAACAACAUUAAUACUCAUAAAGCGCUACGAAGUUUUCAAUUUCCCUGUAGAUCUUCUCAUAACGAAAUAUGAAUAGAAGAUUACACAUUCGAAUUAGUUGAAUCUAUUUCCUUUAAAGAUUUUUCGCUCUGUUACGGAACAAACUUCCAAUCAUCCUAAAAAUUCCUCAUAUAUUUUCAUAUGUUACAUCAAGUAGGAUAAUCCUUCCAUCUUAUCGUUCAUAACU